AAAACUUUCAACAACGGAUCUCUUGGUUCUGGCAUCGAUGAAGAACGCAGCGAAAUGCGAUAAGUAAUGUGAAUUGCAGAAUUCAGUGAAUCAUCGAAUCUUUGAACGCACAUUGCGCCCUGUGGUAUUCCGCGGGGCAUGCCUGUUCGAGCGUC
rnacentral:rRNA from 1 species